rnacentral:rRNA from 1 species
UACGAAGGGGGCUAGCGUUGUUCGGAAUCACUGGGCGUAAAGAGCACGUAGGCGGUAUAGCAAGUUAGGGGUGAAAUCCCAGGGCUUAACCCUGGAACUGCCUUUAAAACUGCUAUGCUGGAGUCUCGGAGGGGAUGGUGGAAUAUCUAGUGUAGAGGUGAAAUUCGUAGAUACUAGAUGGAACACCGGUGGCGAAGGCGGGUCUCUGGGGCCGAAACUGACGCUGAGGAGCGAAAAGCGUGGGGGAGCAAACAGG